AUGAUACUUGUGUCAGAUUCAGAACAAGAAAAAAAAACCUUUCUUUUUUCCUUAUUUUCUUCAAUUUUUUCUUCUAUAAAUUCACUUCCUCAUUCCUUCAUUUUCAUUCAUUCUCUCACACAUUUUCUUCUCCACAUUUCCUUAACUUCUCCAAGUUGUGAGAUUUUUCAUAGCGAUGGAAAGAUUGAACACAGAAUUGUACUACCAAAACUGUCACAUAAUGAAAGAGAAUGA